rnacentral:rRNA from 1 species
CCUACGGGAGGCAGCAGUGGGGAAUAUUGCUCAAUGGGGGAAACCCUGAUGCAGCGACGCCGCGUGAGUGAAGAAGUAACUCGUUAUGUAAAGCUCUAUCAGCAGGGGAGAAAAUGACGGUACGUGAGUAAGAAGCCCCGGCUAACUACGUGACAGCAGCCGCGGUAAUACGUAGGGGGCAGGCGUUAUCCGGAUUUACUGGGUGUAAAGGGGGCGUAGUCGGCAGUGCAAGUCUGGAGGGAAAGGCGGGGGCUCAACCCCCGGACUGCUGUGGAAACUGUACGGCUGGAGUGUAGGAGAGGUAAGCGGAAUUCGUAGUGUAGCGGUGAAAUGCGUAGAUAUUACGCGGAACACCAGUGGCGAAGGCAGCUUACCGGACUGUAACUGACGUUGAGGCUCGAAAGCGUGGGGAGCAAACAGGAUUAGAUACCCUAGUAGUC